GGAAGUAAAAGUCGUAACAAGGUUUCCGUAGGUGAACCUGCGGAAGGAUCAUUACCGUGCCCUGGACGUCGGCAUCACGCGGUACGUCACCGGCCCACCCGUGUCUACUAUACCUGUUGCUUCGGCGGGCCUGCAGCCUCUAGACUGGCUGCUGCCCGGGGGAGGCUUUACUCCUCCAGGCUCGUGCCCGCCGAAGACCCUUUGAACUUCUGACAAAUUGAGGUCUGAGCAAAAUGAUCAAUCAAUCAAAACUUUCAACAAUGGAUCUCUUGGUUCCGACAUCGAUGAAGAACGCAGCGAAAUGCGAUAAGUAAUGUGAAUUGCAGAAUUCCGUGAAUCAUCGAAUCUUUGAACGCACAUUGCGCCCUCUGGUAUUCCGGGGGGCAUGUCUGUCCGAGCGUCAUUGCAACCCUCAAGCACGGCUUGUGUGUUGGGCCCUUUGAGUGUCCCCAGUGGACAGGCCCGAAAAGCAGUGAGCGGUAUCGUGUUGCUGGUGCCUGAGUGUAUGGGGCUUUGUCACACACUUGUACGGCCCGGGCGAUAUCGGCCAGCCGGGGGGAUGGAUUCAUCCGUCUUCCUUUUUUUUUACCAGGUUGACCUCGGAUCAGACAAGGAUACCCGCUGAACUUAAGCAUAUCAAUAAGCGGAGGA
rnacentral:misc_RNA from 1 species